CCUACGGGAGGCAGCAGUCGAGAAUCAUUCACAAUGGGGGAAACCCUGAUGGUGCGACGCCGCGUGGGGGAUUGAAGGUCUUCGGAUUGUAAACCCCUGUCAUGUGGGAGCAAAUUAAAAAGAUAGUACCACAAGGGGAAGAGACGGCUAACACUGUGCCAGCAGCCGCGGUAAUACAGAGGUCUCAAGCGUUGUUCGGAAUCACUGGGCGUAAAGGGUGCGGCGGCUGGUUCGUAAAGCGUGUGGGAAAAGCGCGGGGUCAACCCGCGGACGGCACAUGAUACUGCGAGACUAGAGUAAUGGAGGGGGAAGCGGAAUGCGCGGUGUAGCAGUGAAAUGCGUAGAUAUCGAGAGGAACACUCGUGGCGAAGGCGGGUUCCUGGACCGUAACUGACGCUGAGGCACGAAGGCCAGGGGAGCGAAAGGGAUUAGAUACCCCUGUAGUC
rnacentral:rRNA from 1 species